rnacentral:lncRNA from 1 species
GCUUCUGUCCCCUGUCUUUAAACUCACCUAUAAUGGAGAUUCCAACCUUCCACACACAGUAUUUGCAUCUUACCCUGCCCCGUGCGUUUCUUUGGAAGGGCCCUUUCUUGCCGUCCAGGUUCUGUGAGAUUUUCCUCUACUUCUCUAGUCAGCAGGUACAAAUGUUCCACUGUUAGCGCCUGAUGCGCCUUCACCUGCGUACCCUAAAUCUCCAGCGAACAAACAAACACCUUUCCUGGGCCCUGGGAGAUGAUUGCUAUGCUAUAUCUGAGGCUAGCCAGUAGGGGGUGUCACAGACCUAUAUUUGUCCCUUCACUGGGCGCUAAAGAUCUGGAAGGAGGGUUCGCUAGGUUGUCUCUGGGCUCUCCACGGGAACACAGAGCCUGGGUACAGGAAGCGAGCUCAGGGGAAAGAGUACGGUCUGGACACAGGAGGAGCAGGCAGAACUGCGCGUUUAAGCAAAACCAGAAAUGAGAAGCCUCAGUGAGAUUCCCCAUUUUACAGUGAGAAACAAGCACGGUGUGUGCACUCUGUACAUCGGAAACCAGAGCCUGAAGUUGAACUUGGGUCCUUUCCAGCAUCACAAGACACAGAAGUCCUGGGGCAGCAGGGACACUUUUGACACCUCCCACCUGUAUGUCCACCUCAGGCUGUGCCCUCCAUGCCUUUCCUGCCCCAGACUCCAGGAACUUGCCCAACUCUCUGCCACAUUCCUGGCAUGGCUGUUGCAGAACUUCCGGUGGCCUUGUAAGAACAGGAUCACUCUUUGGCCACCUGGCCCUUGGAAUUCCAACAUUGCUCUGUGAAAGCUGGGGAGACUGACACCUACAGAACAAAGCUACCUGAUACUAAGGGGCUGGCCUCAAAUCCACUAUGCAGCCAGGGAUGACUGAACCUCUGACCUCCAGCCCCAGCUCCUGAGUGCUGUUUUAUGAGGUCUCAGAUAGCCUGGGCUGGAGUCAAAGGAUGACCUUGAAGUCCUGAUAGUCCUGACAACCCCUGCUGAGUGUUGGGAUUACAAGUGUGCACCACUGUGUCUGGUUUAUGUGGUGCUGGAGAAGGGACCCAGGGCUGUGUGUGUGCUGGGCAAAUGCUCUACCAACUGAGCUUCAGCCCACAUCAAUACUUCCACAAUAACAAUGAAGAGAAGUAGCUAAUCCACAUCAGUAGAGAGACGAAAAGAAAACAACUCAAACAGGGCCAAGAGAAGAGAAAAGACAGAACCAGUAGGAACAGAAAGAGCCCCAAGCAGCCUCAAGCCAGAGAAACCCUGUCUCUCUGGCUCUCCACAUGUGAGACAGGGCCUUUCACUGAACCUGAAACUCAGAAAUUGGUUAGACCAGCUUGCUAGUAAGAUACAGAGAUCAUUGUGUCUCUGCCUUUCUUCCCAGCACUGGGGUUGCAAGCACCCUUUGCAGGCCUGGUUUCACAAAGGUACUGGGAUCCAAACUCUGAUCCUGUUGCUCAAGCAACAAGCACUUUAUUCACUAAGCCAUCUUCCCUGGCCAUCACCUCAAUUUAAAUAAAACAAAACAAAUAACAGAAACGACAAAACAAAACAAAACCCCUAAACCUGCAAGGGGCUGGAGAAACACCUCAGCAGUUAAGAGCACUAACUACCCUGGGGCCCAGGCUCAAUCCCCAGCACCUGAAUGGCAGCUCAUAACCAUCUACUCCAUUCCAGCAGAUCUGACACCUCUGGCCUCUUUGGGUACCAGGCAUGCUCCUACCAGGAACCCUGUCCAAAGAAGACAGAUGGGGGCUGGAGAGAUGGCUCAGAGGUUAAGAGCACAGGCUGCUCUUCCAGAAGUCCUGAGUUCAAUUCCCAGCAACCACAUGGUGGCUCACAACCAUCUGUAAUGAGAUCUGGUGUCCUCUCCUGGCGUGCAGACAGACAUGGAGGCUGUAUUCAUAAAAAAAAUAAACAAAUCUUUUUAAAAAAGAAGACGACAGAUGGGGCACAACCAUUCCACCUGAUUGUGGUAAUGCUAACUACUGGGCGAAACUGCCCCAUGCCUUGCCUGCUGCCAGGGCCCUGCACAAACUGUGGACACUGUUGGGUUGACUGCUCUAAUCUGCCUUGCCAAAAUAAGAUAAAGAAUGCUAAGACCCUAUCAAGGACUUGACAGGGACGCAUAGGACAAGGGAGAGUGAAGAACCAGCCUGCCUCCAUUUUAGGCUUACAAUAAAGACAAAUUAGGUUCCUUCCUAUUUAUAAUCAAACCUCUGUUUCUCAAGGAUUGGGCCAUGCCCCACCUAAACCUUAACUACAAAUGGUUCUGUACUGCCUGUCCCAGGAAUGACAAUCAUGUCUUUAUUUCAAAAAGUUGUUAUAACUGUCUUGCAACUCUAUCUUUGUUUCAAAAGGUUGUUAUGACUACCUGUUGUUAUAACCACCCUGUUGUGCCCACCUUGCAACUCUGUCUUUGUUUCUGAAAGGUUGUUAUGACUGCCUGUUGUUAUAACCACCCUGUUAUGCCCACCUUGCAACUCUAUCUUUGUUUCGAAAGGUUGUUAUGACUACCUGUUGUUAUAACCACCCUGUUGUGCCCACCUUGCAACUCUAUCUUUGUUUCGAAAGGUUGUUAUGACUACCUGUUGUUAUAACCACCUUGUUAUGCCCACCUUGCAACUCUAUCUUUGUUUCGAAAGGUUGUUAUGAC